UAGUUUAAAAAAUCUUUUUAUUUAUUUAUUUUAGAUGAUUUUAUUAAUCUUGUUAAUUUCAAAAAAGAUUUUUUUUUUUUUUUAAUUUCAUGAUAAUCCUCUCUAAAUUAAAAAAAAAAAGACAAUUUUUUGACCCACAGUAUGGAGAUUUCGAUCUGGUGCAGGGGACAUCUUCUUCAUGAUCUAGGGGUAGGAGUCCAAUGUAGCCCGCGCUAAGCAGGGAGAGUUACUCUUUGGUUCCAUUUGUCCACAUUCUUCCCUUCCAUCUAGAAAAAUUCGAGCUUGAUUGUUCUGUGUAGUCGAUUCGCUCAGUACCCUCCAUAAACAGAGUCCAUGAGCUCGGGAAGAGAAGUAGAGCCCUCAAUCAAUCAAGGGAGGUCCAACCCUUUCUGAUCAUUCAUCAUUCAAUUCGUUGUGUUACAUUCGAGCGGAUCUGUCAAGUUCCAGCCACCUAACCAAUCUUGUUGAUCUUGACCUACAGAAAGCUGUGAAUGAGGGAGAAGAGCCCGUUGUGUCCUCUUAGCUUGGCCAAUGCAUUAUGCAAUUAUUGACUUCUGAAUCUGGGGAGUUGAGUUUACAAAUUCACAAGUGUACUGAGAGAAAGGUUGAGAUUGAUGCUUUGUUACACAUCAUGUGGUUAUCUGCUAUUGGAGUAGAAGUUGCUUCGACAUCUGGUGGAAAGGCUGAAAUUUCUAAUGGUUUGAACCGAUUGUAUUUUUGUGUUAAUUGUUUUUUAAGUCAAACAAAGGCAGAGAUUCAUGUGUUUGUUUGUUUUUUUUUUUCUUUGUGUCUCUGUUUAUGUUUGGAUUGGUUAUUUCUGACUCUACUUUGCUUUGGGUUGAUACUGAUACUGAAGGUGAUGUCUUUAUUUUUGGUUGUUUUCCGUGUUUCUGCUAUCGUAUGGUGGUUGUUCUGUU